rnacentral:lncRNA from 1 species
AUGAUAAGAGGUGGGGAGGUGAUAAGUGGUGGGGGCAUGAUAUGUCAGAACAGGGGAGUGAUAAGUGGCGUUGGGGGCAUGAUAUGUCAGAAGGGUGUGAGAAGGAGGGACAACACAGCAAGGCACAAGCAGUCCAAGAGGUUCCUGGAGAGCACCGAUGUUAACUUUCUGAUACAGGUGAUAGAGGAGCCAAUGAGGAGAGGCAUUCUGCUGGACCUCAUACUUACAAACAAGGAAGGGCUGGCUGGAGAUGUGGAGGUCAGGGGUGACCUUGGAUGGAGUGACCAUGAGAUGGUGGAGUUCAGGAUCCUGCAAGAAGGAAGCAGAGCAAAAAGUAGGAGCAAAAUCCUGGACUUCAGGAGAGCAAUCUUCGGCCUCUUCAGGGACCUGCUUGGAAGAAUCCCAUGGGAUAGGGCCCUAGAAGGAAGAGGGSUCCAAGAAAGCUGUUUAAUAUUCAAGGAUCACCUCCUCCAAGCUCAAGAACAGUGCAUCCCAAUGAGCAAGAAGUCGAGCAAAGGGAGCAGGAGAGCUGCAUGGAUGAACAAGGAGCUCCCGGCAAAACUCAAACAGAAGAAGGAAGUGUACAGAAGGUGGAAGCAGGGACAGGCCACUUGGGAGGAAUAUAGGCAUGUUGUCCGAGUAUGCAGAGAUGGGACUAGGAAGGCCAAGGCCCAUUUGGAGUUUAAUCUGGCAAGGGAUGGCAAAGACAACAAGAAGGGUUUCUUUAAAUACUUCAGGAACAAAAGGAAGGCUAGGGAGAGUGUGGGCCCACUACUGAAUGGGGCUGGAGCCCUGGUGACAAAGAAUACAGGAAAGACAGAGGUACUGAAAAGUGCCUUUGCUUCAGUCUUCACUGGUAAGACCAGCCCUCAGGAAUCCCAGGCCUCGGAGACCAGCGAUAACAUCUGGAGAAAGAAAGACUUUCCCUUGGUGGAGGCAGAUUGGGUUAGGGAUCGCUUAAGCAAACUUGACAUCCACAAGUCCAUUGGCCCUGAUGGGGGGUACCCACAAGUGCUGAGGGAGCUGGCCGAUGUCACUGCUAGGCCACUCUCAAUCACCUUUGAAAGGUCUUGGAGAUCGGGAGAGGUGCCUGAGGACUGGAAAAAAGCAAACGUCACUCCAGUCUUCAAAAAGGGCAAGAAGGAGGACCCAGGGAACUACAUGCCAGUCAGCCUUACCUCGAUCACUGGAAAGGUGAUGGAAUAG